rnacentral:rRNA from 1 species
UACGGGGGGGGCAAGCGUUGUUCGGAAUUACUGGGCGUAAAGGGCUCGUAGGCGGCCAACUAAGUCAUACGUGAAAUCCCCCGGCUUAACCGGGGAACUGCGUCUGAUACUGGAUGGCUUGAGUUCGGGAGAGGGAUGCGGAAUUCCAGGUGUAGCGGUGAAAUGCGUAGAUAUCGGGAGGAACACCUGUGGCGAAAGCGGCUCACUGGACCACAACUGACGCUGAGGCGCGAAAGCUAGGGGAGCAAACAGG